GGCUGGUCCGAUGACAGUGGGUUAUCAGAACUUAUUAACAUUAGUGUCACGUGGUAUACCACCCCCCCCACUGCUAAAUUUGAUUGGCUUUAA
ensembl:misc_RNA Y_RNA Y RNA